rnacentral:tRNA from 1 species
CAAAACGUAGCUUAACCAAAGCAUCUCGCUUACACCGAGAACAUGUCUGUUAAUCCCAGAUCGCUUUGA